CAUUAAAUCCUAAGGGACUCUUGCCACCUGUGUCUGCUCAUCAUGCCACUGGGUGCUGGGGGACUCAGGAUCACAAACCAAGGGGGUAUUGUUUCCCAAGAGGCCUCAUCCAUCAAGUGGGCUUGCCCAGUGAGUACGCCAAGACAACCCUCUUCCCACCUUGCCUUUCCCUGUCCUGACUUCCGCUUAUCUGAGAACCUUUUGUUCAGGCUCAUGAUUAUUCAGUGACUCAGGAACCCACAAGCUUUCCCUAUGAAGCCAGACAAGACCAGCAAGCUCCUUGGACCACCUGUUCCAAGUUAUUUCCUGUGUGGGCGGCCACUUCACAGGGCUGCAAAUCAGAGUUACUGUAACAGCCUCUUCAAACCCCUGUGCUUUGAGCUGUUGGAACUAGAUGGGAUCUCGAUUGGCUCUGUCCUGGCCAGACUCACAACACUAUCAAUGUUUAUAUUAAAAAUCUCAUACUCUUUCAUAAACAGGUUCUCAAGAGGGAGUUGACACAUCCUUGCCACAUGACCUUGGUGCAGAAGAGCAAACACCAUGGGGGCAGGUGGCUGGGCUGUACCGAAAGACAUGAUAAAUGCUUUGACCCAUUGUCUACCUGCAAACACCAGAGAACAGCGCUCUGCACUCAGAACGACAUAUUCAGGUCACAGGAACCGUUUGCAAUGGUGCAGAUGGGAAUAGUGACAACUCCAUGCGGGGAAUCACAUAACUGAACGUGGAGACCUGAAGAAAAUCUGACAGAAGUAAAAUGUUUCUGAGUACUCGGACACUGUGCAUGACGCCACACCAAGCCAAGCCAAGAGACCCUGACUGAAACUCCUCCGGUGAGGUCCCAGACCACUGUAUGCUCUGACUCGGUGUCGUGUAGCUGCACCCGCAACUUUCUGCUCGUACAGAGGCAAGAUGGUUUAGUUAGAGGAAACCUUGUGUACGUUUCCCCAUCAUCCUUGGCAUGUAUCAUAUUAGCCUGACUUUGGAUUUGAUCGGGUCAGAAUGUUUGAUUUUAAACGUUACUGUGGUUAGAGCGAUGGCUCCAGAUAAAGUGCUUGACCUGCAAGUGUCAGGUCCUGGAUUCAGAGUCCCAGAACUCACACAACAAUGGGUGGGAUAUUCAUGUCUGCUCUCCCAGCACUCCUAAGGUGAGGUGGGAAGUGAGUCCCUGGAAAGUCAUGGCCAGCCAGCCUGGCACAAAUGGCAAGAGACCUUGUUUCAGAGAAAGUAGAAAGCAAGGGUCAACACUAAAGGCUGUCCUCUGAUUUCUACAUGCAAACUGCAGGAUAUGCAUGUUCGUACAC
rnacentral:sRNA from 1 species